AUCCCACACAUGCUUAAACUCCCUCACUGUGUUAACCUCUACCACUUCAGCUGGAAGGCUAUUCCAUGCAUCCACUACCCUCUCAGUAAAGUAAUAAUUCCUGAUAUUAUUUUUAAACCUUUGCCCCUCUAAUUUAAGACUAUGUCCUCUUGAUGUGGUAGUUUUUCUUCUUUUAAAUAUGGUCUCUUCCUUUACUGUGUUGAUUCCC